GGGACAGACCUUUCGCGGGUAGGCGUGAAUGGCAUUCACGAGGCCGUGGGUUCGAUCCCCAUCGGCUCCACCA
rnacentral:tRNA from 1 species